rnacentral:rRNA from 1 species
UACGUAGGGGGCAAGCGUUGUCCGGAUUUAUUGGGCGUAAAGAGCGUGUAGGCGGCCAGACAGGUCCGUUGUGAAAACUAGAGGCUUAACCUCUAGACGUCGAUGGAAACCGUCUGGCUAGAGUCCGGAAGAGGAGAAUGGAAUUCCUGGUGUAGCGGUGAAAUGCGCAGAUAUCAGGAAGAACACCCGUGGCUAAGGCGGUUCUCUAGUACGGUACUGACGCUGAGAUGCGAAAGCGUGGGGAGCGAACAGG